rnacentral:tRNA from 1 species
GCCUCUGUAGCUCAGUGACAGAGCACUGGUCUUGUAAAUCAGGGUUCGUGAGUUCAAUCCUCACAGGAGGCA